AUGGCCAUAUCAUAUUGCAACACUGGUUCUCAUACAAUCACUGAAGUUAAGCAACUUUGAGCUUUGUCAUUACCUAGAUGGGUGACUGCUUGGGAAUGUCAAUUGCUGUA